GACGAACGCUGGCGGCGUGCUUAACACAUGCAAGUCGAGCGGUAAGGCCCUUUCGGGGGUACACGAGCGGCGAACGGGUGAGUAACACGUGGGUGACCUGCCCUCAGCUCUGGGAUAAGCCUGGGAAACCGGGUCUAAUACCGGAUACGACUCCAUGACGCAUGUUGUGGGGUGGAAAGCCUUGUGCGGCUGAGGAUGGGCCCGCGGCCUAUCAGCUUGUUGGUGGGGUGAUGGCCACCAAGGCGACGACGGGUAGCCGGCCUGAGAGGGCGACCGGCCACACUGGGACUGAGACACGGCCCAGACUCCUACGGGAGGCAGCAGUGGGGAACCUUGCGCAAUGGGCGAAAGCCUGACGCAGCGACGCCGCGUGAGGGAUGACGGCCU
rnacentral:rRNA from 1 species